rnacentral:rRNA from 1 species
AUGGAGUCUCUCCGUGACAUGAAGGCCGCAGUGUGCAGCAGCAGGACGAGCGCCAUGGCCGUCGUGGUCUGGUUCCCAUGCAGAGGUGUGGUUCUCGCCGCCGUGGCCGGCUCGGGCCAAUGGGAGGUCCUCCACCGCAUGCAGCUUCCUGUCCGGAACGCCCUCCUCUUCCAAGGAAGGCUAUACGCCACCAGGUUCUGCUCAGACGAGAUCGUGCAGCUGUACCCUCCCAGACAAGCACCGCUCGAUAACGUGAUUGCUACGCUGCCGAAAGCCGAGCUCUUUUGGCGCUUCGUCGACACCCUCCACCUCGUCGAGUCCGCCGGACAGAUGCUGCUCGUCGUUCGACGUGUCGUCGCCCGAGAAUCAUCAUCUGAGCCGCAACUAUUGGCCUUCACGAUCUACUCGGCGGACUUCGGCGACAACAAUGGCGGCCACCCAGAGCUGACGCGAGUGACCAGCCUCGGCGACCGUGCCUUGUUCGUUCCUCAGCAUGUACGACGACUGCCUGUCUGUCUCGGCCAGGGACCUCCCUUCCGUGGGCAGCAACUCCAUCUACUUCUCCACGCGCUUCUUCUCGCGGUUCAGGUGGGAUCACUAGCGGCCGGCCAUUGGUGUAGGUCCGAGGAGUUGGCGGCGCAGUGCCAGAUACACGAUGGGGAAAAAAGGAUCCGGGCGUCGGUUCGGCCCUUCACCAUUGCCGACCAUCUCCUCACUUUCUGCCAUGCAUCCUAG